ensembl:snoRNA SNORD73 Small nucleolar RNA SNORD73
AAUGAAUGAUGACACCUUGUUUCGGUCCCAUAUGAGUCAGUGAUUAUGCUUUUCUAAUGCUGACAUU